rnacentral:rRNA from 1 species
CCGUACACAAAAAUGCACAUGCUGUGAGCUCGAUGAGUAGGGCGGGACACGUGGUAUCCUGUCUGAAUAUGGGGGGACCAUCCUCCAAGGCUAAAUACUCCUGACUGACCGAUAGUGAACCAGUACCGUGAGGGAAAGGCGAAAAGAACCCCGGCGAGGGGAGUGAAAAAGAACCUGAAACCGUGUACGUACAAGCAGUGGGAGCACGCUUAGGCGUGUGACUGCGUACCUUUUGUAUAAUGGGUCAGCGACUUAUAUUCUGUAGCAAGGUUAACCGAAUAGGGGAGCCGAAGGGAAACCGAGUCUUAACUGGGCGUUAAGUUGCAGGGUAUAGACCCGAAACCCGGUGAUCUAGCCAUGGGCAGGUUGAAGGUUGGGUAACACUAACUGGAGGACCGAACCGACUAAUGUUGAAAAAUUAGCGGAUGACUUGUGGCUGGGGGUGAAAGGCCAAUCAAACCGGGAGAUAGCUGGUUCUCCCCGAAAGCUAUUUAGGUAGCGCCUCGUGAAUUCAUCUCCGGGGGUAGAGCACUGUUUCGGCAAGGGGGUCAUCCCGACUUACCAACCCGAUGCAAACUGCGAAUACCGGAGAAUGUUAUCACGGGAGACACACGGCGGGUGCUAACGUCCGUCGUGAAGAGGGAAACAACCCAGACCGCCAGCUAAGGUCCCAAAGUCAUGGUUAAGUGGGAAACGAUGUGGGAAGGCCCAGACAGCCAGGAUGUUGGCUUAGAAGCAGCCAUCAUUUAAAGAAAGCGUAAUAGCUCACUGGUCGAGUCGGCCUGCGCGGAAGAUGUAACGGGGCUAAACCAUG